CCUACGGGCGGCAGCAGUGGGGAAUAUUGGACAAUGGGGGGAACCCUGAUCCAGCCAUGCCGCGUGUGUGAAGAAGGCCCUCGGGUUGUAAAGCACUUUCAGUGAGGAAGAACGCCUGGUGGUUAAUACCCAUCAGGAAAGACAUCACUCACAGAAGAAGCACCGGCUAACUCCGUGCCAGCAGCCGCGGUAAUACGGAGGGUGCGAGCGUUAAUCGGAAUUACUGGGCGUAAAGCGCGCGUAGGUGGCUGGAUAAGCCGGUUGUGAAAGCCCCGGGCUCAACCUGGGAACGGCAUCCGGAACUGUCAAGCUAGAGUGCAGGAGAGGAAGGUAGAAUUCCCGGUGUAGCGGUGAAAUGCGUAGAGAUCGGGAGGAAUACCAGUGGCGAAGGCGGCCUUCUGGACUGACACUGACACUGAGGUGCGAAAGCGUGGGUAGCAAACAGGAUUAGACACCCCAGUAGUC
rnacentral:rRNA from 1 species